rnacentral:misc_RNA from 1 species
GAUGAAGAACGUAGCUAACUGCGAUAAGUAAUGUGAAUUGCAGAAUUCAGUGAAUCAUCGAAUCUUUGAACGCACAUUGCGCCCGCUGGUAUUCCGGCGGGCAUGCCUGUUCGAGCGUCAUUUCAACCCUCAAGCCCCCGGGUUUGGUGUUGGGGAUCGGCUCUGCCCUUCUGGGCGGUGCCGCCCCCGAAAUACAUUGGCGGUCUCGCUGCAGCCUCCAUUGCGUAGUAGCUAACACCUCGCAACUGGAACGCGGCGCGGCCAUGCCGUAAAACCCCAACUUCUGAAUGUUGACCUCGGAUCAGGUAGGAAUACCCGCUGAACUUAAGCAUAUCAAUAAGCGGAGGA